AUUGAACGCUGGCGGCAGGCCUAACACAUGCAAGUCGAGCGGAGCGGCGGACGGGUGAGGAAUGCCUAGGAAUCGGCAUGGUAGUGGGGGAUAACGUCAGGAAACGGGAGCUAAGACCGCAUACAAGAAGAUGAGGCGAGGUCGGAUUAGCUAGUUGGUGGGGUAAAGGCCUACCAAGGAGACGAUCCGUAACUGGUCUGAGAGGAGGAUCAGUCACACUGGAACUGAGACACGGUCCAGACUCCGACGGGAGUCAGCAGUGGGGAAUAUGGGACAAUGGGCGAAAGCCUGAUCCAGCCAUGCCGCGUGUGUGAAGAAGGUCUUCGGAUUGUAAAGCACUUUAAGUUGGGAGGCGUUACCAACAGAAUAAGCACCGGCUAACUUCGUGCCAGCAGCCGCGGUAAUUC
rnacentral:rRNA from 1 species